rnacentral:lncRNA from 1 species
AGCUUGUUCGGUAACAAGCUCCCUCUGCUUCGGGACCGACAUAUCUUUCAGUCGGUGGAAGUCCUCCCGGUCGUCCGCCUCCACCCGACUGUUGUCGUUGGCUUCAGUUCGGGGCACACCCCAGCGGGAAGGAAAGCCCCAAGGAGAAGAGGAGGAAACAAAGAAAAACUGGUUCUUCCAUCCAUGAAUGGACGAUGGAAGACCAGUUAUGAAAGCAAGACCCUUCCGGAGGUUGAAAAGCCACCACCCUCGGGCUUUAGGGUGGGGUCGGAGCACAAAGAAGGUCCGGAAGAGUGAAACGCGGGGGUUGGUCGGCAAGAGCUGACACAACAGCGUGAAGGAAAUGAUUAAACGAACAGAGUUCGGCGCCAGCUACGUCGGACAGAGUCUGUAAUAAUCAAGUAGAUUCCGGACGAACUCCGGAAUCGGAAGCCGAAGACCCGCGCGAAGGUCUUCAACGUAUAGCGCCAGAUCGCCAAGCGGAGGGUUGUUGACCCGACCGCCGGCCCCUGGAGCAGAGAGCCGAAACUGCUCUGGGAUGCGAUAGUGCUCCCGAAGCCGAUCGACGUUCGGCCCCGAAAGCGAGGAGGCCUCAUCUUCCGGAGCCGAUCGGGAGUCAUCGGUCGGGUUCCCCGACCGAGCUCCCUGGGUCGGUUUCCUGGUCAUUAUGCCGGAACCAAA